rnacentral:rRNA from 1 species
GAUGAACGCUGGCGGCGUGCCUAAUACAUGCAAGUCGAGCGAACGGACGAGAAGCUCGCUUCUCUGAUGUUAGCGGCGGACGGGUGAGUAACACGUGGAUAACCUACCUAUAAGACUGGGAUAACUUCGGGAAACCGUAGCCAAUACCGGAUAAUAUUUUGAACGGCAUGGAUCAAAAGAGCAAGACGGUCUGGCUGACACUUAGAGAUGGAUCCGCGCUGCAUUAGCUAGUUGGUAAGGUAACGGCCUACCAAGGCAACGAUGCGUAGCCGACCUGAGAGGGUGAUCAGCCACACUGGAACUGAGACACGGUCCAGACUCCUACGGGAGGCAGCAGUGGGGAAUCUUCCGCAAUGGGCGAAAGCCUGACGGAGCAACGCCGCGUGAGUGAUGAAGGUCUUCGGAUCGUAAAGCUCUUUUAUUAGGGAAGAACAUAUGUGUGAGUAACUGUGCACGUCUUGACGGUACCUAAUCAGUAAGCCCCGGCUAACUACGUG